rnacentral:rRNA from 1 species
UGGGGGAUAUUGCACAAUGGCGAAAGCCUGAUGCAGCGACGCCGCGUGGGGGAUGAAGGCUUUCGGGUUGUAAACCUCUUUCGCUAUCGAACAAGGCCCGCUUAGGGUGGGUUGAGGGUAGGUGGAGAAGAAGCGCCGGCUAACUACGUGCCAGCAGCCGCGGUAAUACGUAGGGCGCGAGCGUUGUCCGGAAUUAUUGGGCGUAAAGGGCUUGUAGGCGGCUUGUUGCGCCUGCUGUGAAAACGCGGGGCUUAACUUCGCGCGUGCAGUGGGUACGGGCAGGCUUGAGUGUGGUAGGGGUGACUGGAAUUCCAGGUGUAGCGGUGGAAUGCGCAGAUAUCUGGAGGAACACCGAUGGCGAAGGCAGGUCACUGGGCCAUUACUGACGCUGAGGAGCGAAAGCAUGGGUAGCGAACAGG